GGAAAAGCCCAGCACCGAAGCCUGUGGUCAUUUGACUGCCAGGCAAUGUGGUGUUUAGGUCGUUCCGCAGAUGCACUGCUCCACCCUAAGUCCAACAAUGAGUACGGUGGUACGGACAUGGCCCAUUGAGGGUGUAAGGCCCGUGGGGGUGGAGAUCAGGCGAAACAGUGCUACUCUGGGAGGACCUUGGAGUCGGGUUGUUUGUGAAUGCAGCCCAAAGUGGGUGGUAAACUUCCAUCCAAGGCUAAAUACCAAGCACGAGUCCGAUAGCGAACAAGUACCGUGAGGGAAAGUUGAAAAGUACUCUGAAGAGAGAGUAAACAGUGCGUGAAACCGCUCAGAGGUAAACGGAUGGAGUUGAACUGUGAGUUUCGAGGGUUCAGCUGGUGACAUUGAUUGGGCUUGGCCAAAUUGGUUGGACUCCAGGGUCUGUUUAGCUACAGGUCCUCGCCUUCUGGUGAAGAUGCGCGGUACACCUGUUUGGUGUUGCGCGCUCUGGAUGUUCCGGACCUUGUCGUCAGUGCACUCCCUCGAUACGGUCACCACGACCGGCACUGCUGUCUGUCUGUUACGGUCAAACUGGCUGUGCAUUGCCCUCGUGGCUUUGUGCGGUCGGGAUGGCAGGUAGCUCGUUGGCUUGCUUGCAGGCUUUCGGGUGAAAUCAGCUGACUGUGAUUUGACUGUGCGGUGUGUCGGGGACGGCGGCUUGAGGUGUGCGCGUGCGUACCAGUUUGCUGGCGUGUCCGUGUUAGGUUGCUCAGUUGCUCACAAAGUGGGCCAAGCGGCGACUGGGACGCGUGCGGUGAGCGGUCGCGUACGUGACACAAUUCUUGGGCCAAUAGUCUGUGGUGUUGCGGUAGACUAUCCAUCCGACCCGUCUUGAAACACGGACCAAGGAGAGUAACAUGUGCGCGAGUCAUUGGGCGUUACGAAACCCAAAGGCGAAGUGAAAGUAAAGGCCUGGCAUGUCCAGGCUGAGGUGAGAUCCUGUCGUUUCUUACGCGCGGUACUACCAAGCAUCGAGCGGCAGGCGYAUCACCGGCCCGUCCCAUGGCAUUGGCAGUCGAAUAUACAGUACAGUCGGGGCGGAGCAAGAGCGUACAUGUUGAGACCCGAAAGAUGGUGAACUAUGCUUGUGCAGAUUGAAGCCAGAGGAAACUCUGGUGGAGGAUCGCAGCGAUUCUGACGUGCAAAUCGAUCGUCAUGACAUGAGUAU
rnacentral:rRNA from 1 species